GGAGGGAUCAUCAUUGGAAAACAUAUUUCUUAUAUGUGAGAGUGAGUGUUUUGCUUAGAGGGGGAGGUUGUGUGUGGUGUGCAUUCGUACUCUGCAUAUAUAUCUUUUUCUCUGGCUUUCCUCCACUCUUGUAUAUAUCAACAAACGAUCGCAACUAUAUGUGUGAGAUAUUGGACAAGAAGAGAAAAAGAUUGACUUGAUUCUUUCCUCUCUUUCUAUCCAAGAAACAAAAAGUGCUUGCCUGAUAUUGGUAAACGCACCAUUGAGCAAUCGAUGGCUGUGAUAUAUAUAAGAAAUACAACUUUCAACAACGAUCUCUUGGCUCUCACAUCGAUGAAGAACAUAGCAAAGUGUGAAAAUUAAUGUGAAUUGCAGAAUUCAGUGAAUCAUUGAGUUUUUGAACGCAUAUUGCACUCUUUGGUUAUUCCAAAGAGUAUGCCUGGUUGAGCAAUGCGAACAUAUCUUAUCAGGGUUAUUAUUCUUAUAAUAAUGGCUCUGGAGUUGAGUGUUUUACCUUGUCGCUUUUCUUCUCUUCUGCUGUCUGGGAAAUCAGACAGCAGCAGAAGCAGAAAAGCAAAAAGGUUCACUUGAAAUGAAGGGAAAUUAUAUAGACAAGCGCAGAUUGAUUUGACAGGAGAAUGGCUUGCUUUAACAACAAUGACUUGAUUAGUUGGUUGUGUCUUGGUGUUGGUUGAUUUUGAAUCAAAUCAUAAAGUCUUGUUUAGAGCCAUUGCUCUGCUGUUUGCUGUCUUGCUUUUAUUUCCUACAACUAGGAACGUGCAAAUACUUGCACACCAAACCAUCAUUCUCAACUCAGGCAAGACUACCCGCUGAAUUUAAGCAUAUAAAUAAGCGGAGGAAAAGAAACUAACAAGGAUUCCCUAGUAACGGCGAGUGAGGCGGGAAAAGCUCAAUUUUGAAUCUACCAAGAUUAACAUUCUUGGUCGAAUUGUAGUUUCAAGAAAGAGUGGCUGAGCAGAAGUCAGUUGGAUGCAAGUUCUUUGGAAUGUGACAUCAGAGAGGGUGACAAUCCCGUUCACCAUCCUUCUGUUUGCUUCUCACCAAAGGCCCUCUUUUCAAAGAGUCGAGUUGUUUGGGAUUGCAGCUCAAAAUGGGUGGUAAAAUUUCAUCUAAAGCUAAAUAUUGGUGAGAGACCGAUAGCGAACAAGUACCGUGAGGGAAAGAUGAAAAGCACUCUGAAGAGAGAGUGAAAAGUACGUGAAAUUGGUUGAAAGGGAAACGCUUGAAACCAGUCAAGGUUUGCUUGGAAUCAGGAGAUUGGUAGUUUGGCAGAAUUGGUUGAGAGAUUGGUCCUUUGUGGCUGACUGUUCUGCUGGUUUUCGCUAAGCUGCAGUUUCUGUACUUUCUUGGUAAACAAGUCAGCAUCAGUUUGAGAUUUGGGAAAAAGAUAACAGGACUUGGUUGGGCUUUUGACGAGUCUUUUGGUUCUCAGAGGUUCAAGCCUGCUUAUCAUGAUACCAAAUGUUAGACUGAGGACUGCAGUACGGGGCAUUGUCCUGGAAUAGGCUUGGCCUGUGAUUUUAUCCUUGGUAAACAGCUUGCUGAUUAUUAGGGAUAAGAUUCAGGAAAAGUCCAAUCUAGGUUGGCUUCCGACUUUGGAUGCUGACGAAAUGGUUUUAAACGACCCGUCUUGAAACACGGACCAAGGAGUCUAACAUGGAUGCAAGUAUUUGGGUGAUUGGAAACCCAUAUGCGCAAUGAAAGUAAUUUGUUUAAGAUAGGAAGUUUUGGCUCCUUCACGAGGAACCAGAACAGCACUAUCGACCGAUGUUGACUAGCUUCGGCUUGAUAGAUUCGAGUAAGAGCAUGUAUGUUGGGACCCGAAAGAUGGUGAACUAUGCCUGAAUAGGGUGAAGUCAGACGAAAGUCUGAUGGAAGCUCGUAGCGAUUCUGACGUGCAAAUCGAUCGUCAAAUUUGGGUAUAGGGGCGAAAGACUAAUCGAACCAUCUAGUAGCUGGUUCCUGC
rnacentral:misc_RNA from 1 species